AGACGAAGGAAGCAUGGUAAUGUGCACACAGAUUGAAAUUAUGGAUCCCCAUAGCCUGAUUCCUCUGUUGCCAUUUUCGCUUUGACUUGGGGGCCUGGUUAUGACCCCCCCGU